CGAAGCUAACGCGAUAGACGUGCCGCCUGGGGAGUACGGUCGCAAGAUUAAAACUCAAAGAAAUUGACGGGGGCCUGCACAAGCGGUGGAGUAUGUGGCUUAAUUCGAUGCAACGCGAAGAACCUUACCUGGCCUUGACAUGCACGUGGUAGAAGCCUGAAAGGGUGACGACCUCGCAAGAGGAGCGUGCACAGGUGCUGCAUGGCUGUCGUCAGCUCGUGUCGUGAGAUGUUGGGUUAAGUCCCGCAACGAGCGCAACCCUUGUGUCCUGUUGCCACCCAAACGAGAGUUUGGAGCACUCUGGACAGACUGCCUCGCUUAAACGAGGAGGAAGGUGGGGAUGACGUCAAGUCAGGAUGGCCCUUACGGCCAGGGCUGCACACGUACUACAAUGCCCGGCACAAAGGGAAGCAAGACCGAUAGGUGGAGCAAAUCCCAAAAAACCGGGCCCAGUUCAGAUUGUCGGCUGCAACUCGCCGACAUGAAGCUGGAAUCGCUAGUAAUGGCGCAUCAGCUACGGCGCCGUGAAUACGUUCCCAGGCCUUGUACACACCGCCCGUCACAUCAUGAAAGCCGGUUGUACCCGAAGUCACCACGUUAACCGCAAGGAGACAGGUGCCGAAGGUAUGGCUGGUGCAUUGGG
rnacentral:rRNA from 1 species